rnacentral:rRNA from 1 species
CAACUUUCAACAACGGAUCUCUUGGCUCUCACAUCGAUGAAGAACGCAGCGAAAUGCGAUAAGUAAUGUGAAUUGCAGAAUUCAGUGAAUCAUCGAAUCUUUGAACGCAAAUUGCGCCCUUUGGUAUUCCGAAGGGCAUGCCUGUUUGAGUGUCUUAU